rnacentral:rRNA from 1 species
UACGUAGGUGGCAAGCGUUGUCCGGAUUUACUGGGCGUAAAGAGCGCGCAGGCGGUCGUUCAAGUCGCGUGUGAAAGCCCCCGGCUCAACUGGGGAGGGUCACGCGAUACUGAUCGACUCGAAGGCAGGAGAGGGUAGUGGAAUUCUCGGUGUAGAGGUGAAAUUCGUAGAUAUCGAGAGGAACACCGGUGGCGAAGGCGGCGAUCUGGACGAUGACUGACGCUGAGACGCGAAAGCGUGGGGAGCAAACAGG